rnacentral:rRNA from 1 species
UACGUAGGGUGCGAGCGUUGUCCGGAAUUAUUGGGCGUAAAGAGCUUGUAGGCGGUUUGUCGCGUCUGCUGUGAAAUCUCAAGGCUCAACCUUGAGCUUGCAGUGGGUACGGGCAGACUAGAGUGUGGUAGGGGAGACUGGAAUUCCUGGUGUAGCGGUGAAAUGCGCAGAUAUCAGGAGGAACAACCGAUGGCGAAGGCAGGUCUCUGGGCCACUA